CAAACACACAGAAACACGGGACACAGGUUGUUGGAGAAACAAAAAAUAAAGCUCUCGUACUUAUACAUUCGCGUUCGCAUUCGUAGAUUGUGGCAGAUUGACAUGGGAAAAUGCUUAUAAAAGGACUGUGUGAAGUGUUGAGUUAUGAUCCCAGGUUUUUGUGCUCUCCCUCAAUCUCCCCUCCCCGCACUAAACAAUAAAUAUACUGAUUGAUGGUUGGCGCAAUUUAAUCGAGAUGAUAUCGAGUCGGUAAUCUAAUUAACAAAUAAAUUCUCAUGAUCUUUGAUGUGAC
rnacentral:lncRNA from 1 species